UGGCAUCACAGUUGAGGUGCUAAUGUGGAGA
rnacentral:piRNA from 1 species